GCGAGUGUCGUAUAGUGGUAAUACCUUAGCUUUCCAAGCUAAAGCCAGGGGUUCGAUUCCCCUCACUCGCUCCA
rnacentral:tRNA from 1 species